UGGUGUGUAUAAUUGCUUCUUAACGUUUCAUUAGCUUAUGAUGAUGUAUUUAUUGUAUCUCAGAUUGAUGAGUUGCAUGGCCAGUUUGUGGAAGCGCUUAAGGAUCUGUUUGAGAGGCACAAGGCCGGAGCAGGCUACUCUGAUCUGCAGUUAAACAUUCUUUAAACAAAUUUUCUGAAAUUGGAAAUUAUUGUCUUUAUGAAUCAUCCUUAAAAUCAUUUCUUGUUACCUUGCCCGUGGCAUUAACCUGUGUAUGUCACAUCGAGUUUGCAGCAGUGUAUAAUAUAGCAAACCUGCUUAUACAUGUGUUCUUCAUGUGUCUCUUAUAUUGAUUGACAGAGAAUAUACAGUUUUUGUGUUUUG
rnacentral:lncRNA from 1 species